rnacentral:rRNA from 1 species
AACGAACGCUGGCGGCAUGCCUAAUACAUGCAAGUCGAACGAUCACUUCGGUGGUAGUGGCGCACGGGUGCGUAACGCGUGGGAAUCUACCCUUGGGUUCGGAAUAACGGUUAGAAAUGACUGCUAAUACCGGAUGAUGACGAAAGUCCAAAGAUUUAUCGCCCAAGGAUGAGCCCGCGUAGGAUUAGCUAGUUGGUGAGGUAAAAGCUCACCAAGGCGACGAUCCUUAGCUGGUCUGAGAGGAUGAUCAGCCACACUGGGACUGAGACACGGCCCAGACUCCUACGGGAGGCAGCAGUAGGGAAUAUUGGACAAUGGGGGCAACCCUGAUCCAGCAAUGCCGCGUGAGUGAUGAAGGCCUUAGGGUUGUAAAGCUCUUUUACCCGAGAUGAUAAUGACAGUAUCGGGAGAAUAAGCUCCGGCUAGCUCCGUGCCAGCAGCCGCAGUAA